AUGACUGGACGAAACCAAGAAAUAACCCCUUAUGUGCGAAAUUAUAGAAGAUCCCCUUUAAGAUCAAACAAUUCCAUCGAAUUGAGUAUGACUGUAUGUGUGAUAGCAUCUACUAUACCAGGAAUAUCAAUGAACCCCAUUCUUGCAAUUGCUCAGGAUACCCUCUUUUAG
rnacentral:rRNA from 1 species